UACAGAGGUCUCAAGCGUUGUUCGGAUUCAUUGGGCGUAAAGGGUGCGUAGGUGGCGUGGUAAGUCGGGUGUGAAAUUUCGGAGCUUAACUCCGAAACUGCAUUCGAUACUGCUGUGCUUGAGGACUGGAGAGGAGACUGGAAUUUACGGUGUAGCAGUGAAAUGCGUAGAGAUCGUAAGGAAGACCAGUGGCGAAGGCUGGUCUCUGGACAGUUCCUGACACUGAGGCACGAAGGCCAGGGGAGCAAACGGG
rnacentral:rRNA from 1 species